rnacentral:lncRNA from 1 species
AUGAGGAGAACAGACAGGGUUCACGCUACCUUGGGGGCUUUGGUUCUUCCUCACACUGGCUGCACUUACCGUUACCAAGGGAACUUUGACACUCAGUCGGCUCUGCUUCCAGGGACCCAGAUUUCGGCAGGGUGGAGGGCGGCCUGCUCACUGGGGUAUUUUAGUACUUUCCGAUCGUCCUCUGGUUUUUACCUGAGCCUGGCAGGGGACUGGGAGGUCGUCUCUGCGGUCACCAUCUCCUUGAUAACGCAGGGUGGUAAUGAACCUGCUGCUGCAACGUCCAGCCAGCCUCCUCUCCCUCAAUCAGCACACAGGAGGGAGUCGGUGGACUACAUUUCCCACCAGGCCCUGCGCUGCCCACCCCUCUCGCUCGGGUCCCAAGGCAGGGGGAGGGAGGGUCGUUCCCCACCUGUGCGGUCCCGGGCGCCAUGGCAGCUGCUGAUGAGGAUGGAGCAUUCCGUCCAGUCCUGCGGCUGCAGCCUUCAAAAAAACGGGGACCUCCUGGCCUUUAACGGGGCCGCCAUCCCCUCCCGAAACUGCACACUUCCGGUGCGAGCCUUGGGCUCCAGGCCUGGCCCCGCGUUUGCACUCAGGGCACUCAGUGAUGUGCAAAACCCGCUCGCUGGCUUCCUGGACCCUGCUGCGACUGGGAGGUGCGGGGUCUGUUACCGGCCGUGGCCAAAGUCGGGGACCCCCCUCCCCCCCACCCCCGCUUCACCUCCCGCCACCCGGCCUUUGUCCUUGCUGUCGUCUCCCUGCCCUGUCCGGACAGGGUCUGACAGUGUGGUCGUCCCGAGUGCCCACUCAUCAACGCCUGCACGGAAAGGACACCCGUGCUCGGUGGUGUCCCUGUCACUGCGAGCCUGCUGCAGGGCAGACGACCUGCAGGGCUUGGGCUUGGCAACCGUCAGCCCGGGGCGCUUGCGUGUUAGCUGCCAGCCAUCCGUGGGGCUCCUGCUCUCCCCCGAUGAUGUCACCGGCAGGCUGGUGGACACCGUCCACGUGCUGCUUUCCGUCACCGCUGCUUUCCUUGCUUGGCUUGCCAGCUCAAGCCCGGCGUGCGAGCAGCGGCAGACGGGCGCCCCCUAG